rnacentral:rRNA from 1 species
GCAGUGGGGAAUAUUGGACAAUGGGCGAAAGCCUGAUCCAGCAAUGCCGCGUGAGUGAUGAAGGCCUUAGGGUUGUAAAGCUCUUUUACCCGGGAUGAUAAUGACAGUACCGGGAGAAUAAGCUCCGGCUAACUCCGUGCCAGCAGCCGCGGUAAUACGGAGGGAGCUAGCGUUGUUCGGAAUUACUGGGCGUAAAGCGCACGUAGGCGGCUUUGUAAGUUAGAGGUGAAAGCCCGGGGCUCAACCCCGGAACUGCCUUUGAUACUGCAUGGCUUGAAUCCAGGAGAGGUGAGUGGAAUUCCGAGUGUAGAGGUGAAAUUCGUAGAUAUUCGGAAGAACACCAGUGGCGAAGGCGGCUCACUGGACUGGUAUUGACGCUGAGGUGCGAAAGCGUGGGGAGCAAACAGGAUUAGA